AUUGAACGCUGGCGGCAGGCCUAACACAUGCAAGUCGAACGCGUCGCGGACGGGUGUGUUAUAUGUGGGACUCUGCCUUAUGGCGGGGGAUAACCUCUGGACACUGUCGCUAAUCCCGCAUACUCUCAUAUAUGCCCAUAUGGGAUUAGCUUGGUGGUGGGGUAAGGGCUCACCAAGGCGACGAUCCCUAGCUGGUCUGAGAGGAUGACCAGCCACACUGGGACUGAGACACGGCCCAGACUCCUACGGGAGGCAGCAGUGGGGAAUAUUGCACAAUGGGCGCAAGCCUGAUGCAGCCAUGCCGCGUGUAUGAAGAAGGCCUUCGGGUUGUAAAGUACUUUCAGUGGGGAGGCGUUACCGGCAGAAGAAGCACCGGCUAACUCCGUGCCAGCAGCCGCGGUAAUAC
rnacentral:rRNA from 1 species